rnacentral:tRNA from 1 species
CCUCCACAUAAGAUCCCAAAACUCUUCGUACUUCCAAUUAUACUACACUCUACCCUAUA